AUUGAUGAGUGGGACGUAUGUGUUCCAACAUUAUUUUAUGAUAGUAACACAGUAAAUACAAAAUACAAAUAAAAGAAAAACAUCAUUGUAGUUCAACAUUUCUGUUAUAUUGCAUAUAUACAAGGUUAUUCAAUACUGAUGGGAAAAAAUAUCUCAAUUGUUACCAAUAUUGGAACAAACAAGUCCUAAUUGUAUUUUUAAAAAUAAAAAAAAAAACGUGUCUACUAGAUUUGAUGACAACAUCUAGACUGACAAAAUUUUAUAGAAUAGAAGAAAAGCAGACAGCAAACAGCUACAAAGCAGACAGUUUUGGACUUGCUUACGAGCCUAGGACGUACAGUACUAAAAUCCCAGAUACCAAUGAUUUUAAAAAUGGAGCAUCUUAAUCCAUAUGUAGAAACGGAUCUAUGGGAAAAAUUUUCCGCUGCCACAAAUAAUUUUUGUGAGACUGACAAUAUGAAGAUCAACCUCGCAGCGGGAAAGUUUCAAAAGUUUCUUGACAAGAUCAAAUUUAGACAGACAUACAAGUGAAAGAUACAUACCGAAAUAGUGCUAAAACACCUCCAACUUAGAAAAAAUGGUUUAUCUGGUUAAGAGGGUAAUCAAUGAACAAUAAUCCUAUUUAUGUAAUUGCUACUUUUUCUUUUUAUUAAAAUGGAAAAGUGUCUUAAAAAAGAACGUCGUUCUGGAACUGUUAGAAACAGACUAAUUAAAGUGACAUGAAGACUUCAUAAUCGAAACAACGACUUCGCCAGUGUGUCUUAUGUCUACAUUGUUGAUUGAAAAAAUAAACAACUUUAGCAAA